rnacentral:lncRNA from 1 species
UCCAGCUGAAAAUGCUUCCUCGUAUGGUCUGAUCCGGUCAGGAAGAGGAUCACCGAUCCUACCACUGAGACUCAGAAGCUCCAACUCAUACGAAGAAGGGAUCUUGUAUUGAGCUCAAAUUAGACUUAGAUCCUCUACGUCUAAUAUGGACCCAAUGGUGUCAGGCAUGAAAAAUUGCCCAGCCUCAUUUCUGACACUCGAUCUCACAGGACCUCCCCCUAAAGAAGGAGAAGACCCAAAAGAUCAGUUUUCACUAGAACUUUCAAAGUCUGCCAUUGG